AACUCGGUAGCUCAGUUGGUAGAGCAGCAGGACGGAAUCCCCAAGUCAUGAGUUCAAUCCUCACUCGGGUUC